AACUUGUGAAUGUAUGGAGAGAAGCCAUAGCUCUGUGGAGGAGCCAGGAAGAAGUAAUGCAAGAGCCAAGGCAGCAGGGAGCUGUACCCUCGUGAAGCCAGGAUAUGGUGGCAUGAUGUGCCUAAGAAUGCUCAUGAGUUCCAGGAUUUGAUGACUGCUGACAACAAACUGGAUGCCAAAACAUCAGACAAAAAACCUAAUGAACCCUUAAGUUACAGACAAGGCUGCAUCACAUGGGCUGUGUGUGCAAGCUAUGUGAAGCGAUAUGUGAACUACUGGUAUCAAGCAGACAUCCACAGAGCUGAGAGACUUCUUCAUCUUGCUGCCACCAAAUAAUUAGAUGAAGUCCAAGGGGAAACAUGGUACAGAAACCACGAAAAUUAACUAAUAUGUUCAGUACUAGAAUCAGGCCACACUUAGCCAAUCCUCAUACAAAGAAGGGCCACUUCUGACUGCAUUUAUCAGCUGUCAGCAGCAAUUUUAUGUAAGAGAUUUUUAGAUACUUAUUGAGGUUAUGCUGCAAACUCAACCAAUUAACAUCAAGCUUGUAAAAGCACUUUAGAAUUGAGGAAGACAUUAAGGUGAAGUAUGCAUUUUGUUGGCAAGGAAUUUUCUUUGUGAUUGCUGGAAUACUGUCAGGCUCAGACUGCCAUUUGGGAGUCCCUGAUUAAGGUUGUUUGCUUAGUAGGGUGAAAUCACUGAAAU